rnacentral:rRNA from 1 species
CCUGGCUCAGGACGAACGCUGGCGCGUGCCUAAUACAUGCAAGUCGAGCGGACAGAAGGGAGCUUGCUCCCGGAUGUUAGCGGCGGACGGGUGAGUAACACGUGGGUAACCUGCCUGUAAGACUGGGAUAACUCCGGGAAACCGGAGCUAUACCGGAUAGUUCCUUGAACCGCAUGGUUCAAGGAUGAAAGACGGUUUCGGCUGUCACUUACAGAUGGACCCGCGGCGCAUUAGCUAGUUGGUGGGGUAAUGGCUCACCAAGGCGACGAUGCGUAGCGACCUGAGAGGGUGAUCGGCCACACUGGGACUGAGACACGGCCCAGACUCCUACGGGAGGCAGCAGUAGGGAAUCUUCCGCAAUGGACGAAAGUCUGACGGAGCAACGCCGCGUGAGUGAUGAAGGUUUCGGAUCGUAAAGCUCUGUUGUUAGGGAAGAACAAGUGCGAGAGUAACUGCUCGCACCUGACGUACCUACCAGAAAGCCACGGCUAACUACGUGCCAGCAGCCGCGGUAAUACGUAGGUGGCAAGCUUGUCCGGAAUUAUUGGGCGUAAAGGGCUCGCAGGCGGUUUCUUAAGUCUGAUGUGAAAGCCCCCGGCUCAACCGGGGAGGGUCAUUGGAAACUGGGAAACUUGAGUGCAGAAGAGGAGAGUGGAAUCCACGUGUAGCGGUGAAAUGCGUAGAGAUGUGGAGGAACACCAGUGGCGAAGGCGACUCUCUGGUCUGUACUGACGCUGAGGAGCGAAAGCGUGGGGAGCGAACAGGAUUAGAUACCCUGGUAGUCCCGCCGUAAACGAUGAGUGCUAAGUGUUAGGGGGUUUCCGCCCCUUAGUGCUGCAGCUAACGCAUAAGCACUCCGCCUGGGGAGUACGGUCGCAAGACUGAAACUCAAAGGAAUUGACGGGGGCCCGCCAAGCGGUGGAGCAUGUGGUUUAAUUCGAAGCAACGCGAAGAACCUUACCAGGUCUUGACAUCCUCUGACAACCCUAGAGAUAGGGCUUUCCCUUCGGGGACAGAGUGACAGGUGGUGCAUGGUUGUGUCAGCUCGUGUCGUGAGAUGUUGGGUUAAGUCCCGCAACGAGCGCAACCCUUGAUCUUAGUUGCCAGCAUUCAGUUGGGCACUCUAAGGUGACUGCCGGUGACAAACCGGAGGAAGGUGGGGAUGA